CGGUCCGUUAGAAAAAACAGAAAUUAGCUGAGGGAAAAAUAGUAUAAAAGCUGUUUACGACCUUCAUAGAUAUUGGACGUCAAUGGUCGCCAUCCUGGCUUCACUUUGCUCAUAGACCGAAUGACUGGAGUUCUUGCUUCAGAUAUACAGCUAAUUCAAAAAGGGUUGUUCUUUGCAAACAUUAAACUCUAAACCUUAAACUCUAAGCGCGCAAAGCUUAAUGGGAGCACGAGUGUCAAGCUUAAUAGUUGAAUAUUGCAGCUUUUGUGAAUGAAUUGUUCUCGUAAGGAGAUAUUUACCAUGUCUCUAAGAAAUGGGCCACAUAUAUGAUUUCUCAACUGAUUAAAUGAUGCUCCCAUUAUGCUUUGCGCGCUCAGAGUUUGAGGUUUAAAGUUUA
rnacentral:lncRNA from 1 species